rnacentral:rRNA from 1 species
UACGGAGGGUGCAAGCGUUAAUCGGAAUUACUGGGCGUAAAGCGUGUGUAGGCGGUUUGUUAAGUCGGAUGUGAAAGCCCCGGGCUCAACCUGGGAAUUGCAUUCGAUACUGACAAACUUGAAUUUGGUAGAGGGAAGUGGAAUUCCGGGUGUAGCGGUGAAAUGCGUAGAUAUCCGGAGGAACAUCAGUGGCGAAGGCGGCUUCCUGGACCAAAAUUGACGCUGAGGCACGAAAGCGUGGGUAGCAAACAGG